GUCUCAAUGCCCAUGAAAAAUUUAAUCACAGAAGUUAUGCAACAAAUCAUGAUCAUUAAUUGAUGAAAAACAAGAAAUUCAUACGUGAUUAAUAUUAAGAGACGAAAUUGGCAACAAAAUUUCAAAAUGAAAUUUAAUGCAUAAAUAAUGGCAAUACAUAACAUUUUAAUGAAAUAAUAAAAAAGUCGUCAAUUAAUUUUAUUAUUUAUUCAACAUAUAAUUUUAAUCGGGUCAAGUUUAAAUAAAAUUUCAAUUGGGUCAAAAUUGAAAUCUUAGAAUCAAAACUUUUUAAAAGGUUCAAAUUUAAUACCCUUUGAAAAUUACAUAUUAACCCUAGAUUUAAAUUAAAACUGGGUCUCUCAAUAUUUAAAAUUGUGUGGCAGGUCCUUACUUAAAAAUUUGCAAAACAAGCCCUAAUCCUUUAAUUUCUGUAUGGGACCUCUAAACUCACAAAUUGCAAGACUAGUCCCAUCCCCAAAUAUAUUACAUACGGCUAAAAUCAAAGAUUAUAACCCAAAAGAAAAAAACCACCAUUCUUCUCUCAGUUUCCGCCAUCGACAACAUGGUUAUGUGUCAAUAAUAACCGAUUUAUCAACUUACAAGGAAUUAGAAUUCAAAAAGGACAACCACGAUCCUCUCUAACUGUUCGAUAAUUGCCGCAAACGCACCACCCACGAAGCAGUUUGGCGCCUUCAAAGACAUUUUUUUUUUUUAGGGUUGUUGCGGUUGAUUCGGCGGUGUGGCAAGUGGGCCGAGCUUGAUUUUAUUUUCGCAUCAGUAUCGUGCAAAUGUAUAUAUACUGUGAAACUUCCAUGACACUCCAUGGUUCAAACUCAGGUACUGCCAGAAUGUCUGGUACUUAUCAAGUCUUCAACAUUGGAAUUCACUGGACAUUCAAUAAAGUAAUUUGAUUCCAAGACAGUAGGACUUUAAAGUAAUGGACCAGAUUUAGGAUUGGGAUUGGGAUUGGGAUUUAUGUUUCUAAAUCUAAUGGAAUGUUCAAAGGUUACUGGAGAAUGGGAAAGAAGGAAAAAAAAAAUAAUAAUAAUAAAUACAUGGGUGGUAUGGGUCACAUGGUGAUGGCGGCGUAGUUGGGGUUUUCCAGUGCUGAUUACGACCCAAAAAGGAAUUGCUAGUGCAUAUAUUGUAUAUGCAUUCCAUGCGUGUAUAUUUAAU
rnacentral:lncRNA from 1 species